UAGGGAAUCUUCGGCAAUGGACGAAAGUCUGACCGAGCAACGCCGCGUGAGUGAAGAAGGUUUUCGGAUCGUAAAACUCUGUUGUUAGAGAAGAACAAGGACGUUAGUAACUGAACGUCCCCUGACGGUAUCUAACCAGAAAGCCACGGCUAACUACGUGCCAGCAGCCGCGGUAAUACGUAGGUGGCAAGCGUUGUCCGGAUUGAUUGGGCGUAAAGCGAGCGCAGGCGGUUUCUUAAGUCUGAUGUGAAAGCCCCCAGCUCAACCGGGGAGGGUCAUUGGAACCUGGGAGACUUGAGUGCAGAAGAGGGGAGUGGAAGUCCAUGUGUAGCGGUGAAAUGCGUAGAUAUAUGGAGGAACACCAGUGGCGAAGGCGGCUCUCUGGUCUGUAACUGACGCUGAGGCUCGAAGGCGUGGGGAGCAAACAGG
rnacentral:rRNA from 1 species